ACGGGAGGCAGCAGUGGGGAAUAUUGCACAAUGGGGGAAACCCUGAUGCAGCGACGCCGCGUGAGUGAAGAAGUAUUUCGGUAUGCAAAGCUCUAUCAGCAGGAAAGAAAAUGACGGUACCUGACUAAGAAGCCCCGGCUAACUACGUGCCAGCAGCCGCGGUAAUACGUAGGGGGCAAGCGUUAUCCGGAUUUACUGGGUGUAAAGGGAGCGUAGACGGUAAGGCAAGUCUGGAGUGAAAUGCCAGGGCUCAACCCUGGAACUGCUUUGGAAACUGUCCUACUAGAGUGCAGGAGAGGUAAGUGGAAUUCCUAGUGUAGCGGUGAAAUGCGUAGAUAUUAGGAGGAACACCAGUGGCGAAGGCGGCUUACUGGACUGUAACUGACGUUGAGGCUCGAAAGCGUGGGGAGCAAACAGGAUUAGAUACCCUGGUA
rnacentral:rRNA from 1 species